rnacentral:rRNA from 1 species
UACGAGGGGGGCAAGCGUUGUUCGGAAUUAUUGGGCGUAAAGGGUGCGUAGGCGGUUUGGUUAAGUCUUAUGUGAAUCUACAGGCUCAACUUGUAGUCUGCAUGAGAAACUGCCGGGCUUGAGUAUGGGAGAGGUGAGUGGAAUUCCUGGUGUAGCGGUGAAAUGCGUAGAUAUCAGGAGGAACACCUGUGGCGAAAGCGGCUCACUGGACCAUAACUGACGCUGAUGCACGAAAGCUAGGGGAGCAAACAGG